UAGCUUGCUACCUGACCUAGCGGCGGACGGGUGAGUAAUGCUUAGGAAUCUGCCUAUUAGUGGGGGACAACAUUCCGAAAGGAAUGCUAAUACCGCAUACGCCCUACGGGGGAAAGCAGGGGAUCUUCGGACCUUGCGCUAAUAGAUGAGCCUAAGUCAGAUUAGCUAGUUGGUGGGGUAAAGGCCUACCAAGGCGACGAUCUGUAGCGGGUCUGAGAGGAUGAUCCGCCACACUGGGACUGAGACACGGCCCAGACUCCUACGGGAGGCAGCAGUGGGGAAUAUUGGACAAUGGGCGAAAGCCUGAUCCAGCCAUGCCGCGUGUGAAGAAGGCCUUUUGGUUGUAAAGCACUUUAAGCGAGGAGGAGGCUACUGAGAUUAAUACUCUUGGAUAGUGGACGUUACUCGCAGAAUAAGCACCGGCUAACUCUGUGCCAGCAGCCGCGGUAAUACAGAGGGUGCGAGCGUUAAUCGGAUUUACUGGGCGUAAAGCGUGCGUAGGCGGCUUUUUAAGUCGGAUGUGAAAUCCCUGAGCUUAACUUAGGAAUUGCAUUCGAUACUGGGAAGCUAGAGUAUGGGAGAGGAUGGUAGAAUUCCAGGUGUAGCGGUGAAAUGCGUAGAGAUCUGGAGGAAUACCGAUGGCGAAGGCAGCCAUCUGGCCUAAUACUGACGCUGAGGUACGAAAGCAUGGGGAGCAAACAGGAUUAGAUACCCUGGUAGUCCAUGCCGUAAACGAUGUCUACUAGCCGUUGGGGCCUUUGAGGCUUUAGUGGCGCAGCUAACGCGAUAAGUAGACCGCCUGGGGAGUACGGUCGCAAGACUAAAACUCAAAUGAAUUGACGGGGGCCCGCACAAGCGGUGGAGCAUGUGGUUUAAUUCGAUGCAACGCGAAGAACCUUACCUGGUCUUGACAUAGUAAGAACUUUCCAGAGAUGGAUUGGUGCCUUCGGGAACUUACAUACAGGUGCUGCAUGGCUGUCGUCAGCUCGUGUCGUGAGAUGUUGGGUUAAGUCCCGCAACGAGCGCAACCCUUUUCCUUAUUUGCCAGCGGGUUAAGCCGGGAACUUUAAGGAUACUGCCAGUGACAAACUGGAGGAAGGCGGGGACGACGUCAAGUCAUCAUGGCCCUUACGACCAGGGCUACACACGUGCUACAAUGGUCGGUACAAAGGGUUGCUACCUAGCGAUAGGAUGCUAAUCUCAAAAAGCCGAUCGUAGUCCGGAUUGGAGUCUGCAACUCGACUCCAUGA
rnacentral:rRNA from 1 species